rnacentral:rRNA from 1 species
CCUACGGGAGGCAGCAGUGAGGAAUAUUGGUCAAUGGGCGGAAGCCUGAACCAGCCAAGUCGCGGGGGGGAAUAAGGCCCUACGGGUCGUAAACCUCUUUUGCCGGGGAGCAAGGGCCGGGACGAGUCCCGGUCCGGAGAGUACCCGGAGAAAAAGCAUCGGCUAACUCCGUGCCAGCAGCCGCGGUAAUACGGAGGAUGCGCGCGUUAUCCGGAUUUAUUGGGUUUAAAGGGUGCGUAGGCGGGCUGUUAAGUCAGCGGUAAAAAUUCGGGGCUCAACCCCGUCCGGCCGUUGAAACUGGGGGCCUUGAGUGGGCGAGAAGAAGGCGGAAUGCGUGGUGUAGCGGUGAAAUGCAUAGAUAUCACGCAGAACCCCGAUUGCGAAGGCAGCCUUCCGGCGCCCUACUGACGCUGAGGCACGAAAGUGCGGGGAUCGAACAGGAUUAGAUACCCCAGUAGUC